ACACUCUCAAUGCCUCGGUCAACCCAACCCCCUUUAUUCAUUUUCCAAAACCUGAGCAGCAGUAGAGGCGACAACCGGCAGCUGCUGCCAUAAAAAAUGCAAAUCUUCAUGGAAAUCCUGAUGGGGAAGACCAUCACCCUUGAGGUGGAGUCUUCUGACACCAUCGACGAUGUCAAGGCCAAAAUCCAGGACAAGGAGAGGCAUUCCCCCGAAACUAAUAGCGCCUCAUCUUCAUCGGCAAGCAGCUGGAGGAUGGCCGUACCCUAGUCGACUACAACAGCCGAAAGGAGCCAGAAGGAGUCCACCAUCCACUUCUUUCUCCACCUCCUUGGUGACGCAACACCAAGCCCAAGAAAAAGAAGGCAAGUUUACCGAAAGGCUGGCAGUGAUUGAGGGAACUCUAGACUAAUUGUGCAUUCAACGCUGAAGGGGAUCGAUGUGCUCUCCACCAACUCUCAGCAAUUGAAGUUGUUGACAUAGGCUUAGGGUCUUCCUCGGAUAUUCUCAUUGAGUUGCAUUUUUCACUUUGAGACUUGUAUUGCUUGUUCAAACUCUUUUGGCCUCUAAUCCACAGCUAUUAAUUGAUUGAAGAACAAUGAAGACAAAGUUGUGUUUUGCUCUUGAAGUGUUUCGGCAGUAGUUGCUAGCUAAGUUUAGGACUUAGAUUUAUUUUUGUAAAGCUGUAGCAGGAUGUUGAACUUAAAUAUGAUAUUUUGGCAUUUCGAAUGUAAUGGAUGUCUUCUGUUUUUAAUUAGUAGGCUUUGUUGUUAUUUUUCUCAAUUCGUAAAUUGAAUUGUUGGAUUGAUUAAUUCCAGUAUAAUUUUCUUUAUCAAA